rnacentral:rRNA from 1 species
AUCUACGGCCAUGCCACCUGAACAAGCCUGAUGUCUGAUCUUGGAAGCUAAGCAGGGUCAGGCCUGGUUAGUACUUGGAUAGGAGACCACCUAGGAAGACCAGGUGCUGUAGGCA